UACGUAGGGGGCGAGCGUUGUCCGAAGUUACUGGGCGUAAAGCGCGCGUAGGCGGGCUCUUAAGUGAGGGGUGAAAGGUUCGGGCUCAACCCGAACACUGCCUUUCAUACUGGGAGCCUUGAGUGCGGGAGAGGCGAGUGGAAUGGUCGGUGUAGCGGUGAAAUGCGUAGAUAUCGAUCGGAACACCCAUGGCGAAGGCAGCUCGCUGGCCUGCAACUGACGCUGAGGCGCGAAAGCCAGGGGAGCGAACGGG
rnacentral:rRNA from 1 species